AGCAAACACGCGAAGGCGAAUGCCGAGAAGAGAGGAGACCUCAGAAGACAGAGAGGAGAAAUCAGAGCUGUGAAUUAGGCCAGCAUAGCAGGGAUAUAAAUCAACCAACACUGUUGAGGAAGUGCCACUUUUUCCGUCAUCAACGUGAGUGGAUAAUCUCUCUUUUUUUUUUUUUGAUUGUGAGAGCAUUGCUUUGUAUCUAGCAAAAUAAUAAUAAUAAUAAUAAUAAUAAUAAUAAUAAUAAUAAUAAUAAUAAUAAUAUUAAUAAUAAAUAAAUGAAGCCAGCAGGGAAAUAAUAAUAG
ensembl:lncRNA